GAUGAACGCUGGCGGCGUGCCUAAUACAUGCCAGUCGAGCGAACAGAUGAGGAGCUUGCUCCUCUGACGUUAGCGGCGGACGGGUGAGUAACACGUGGAUAACCUACCUAUAAGACUGGGAUAACUUCGGGAAACCGGAGCUAAUACCGGAUAAUAUAUUGAACCGCAUGGUUCAAUAGUGAAAGACGGUUUUGCUGUCACUUAUAGAUGGAUCCGCGCCGCAUUAGCUAGUUGGUAAGGUAACGGCUUACCAAGGCAACGAUGCGUAGCCGACCUGAGAGGGUGAUCGGCCACACUGGAACUGAGACACGGUCAAGACUCCUACGGGAGGCAGCAGUAGGGAAUCUUCCGCAAUGGGCGAAAGCCUGACGGAGCAACGCCGCGUGAGUGAUGAAGGUCUUCGGAUCGUAAAACUCUGUUAUUAGGGAAGAACAAAUGUGUAAGUAACUAUGCACGUCUUGACGGUACCUAAUCAGAAAGCCACGGCUAACUACGUG
rnacentral:rRNA from 1 species